GAUUCCUUGGCUCAGUUGGUAGAGCGUUGGUUUCAUAGACUCUUAUGAAGGCGGAUACGCCACCAAUCCAAAGAUUGUCAGUUCGAGCCAGGCAGGGAGCA
rfam:Sphaerobolus stellatus SS14 unplaced genomic scaffold SPHSTscaffold_33, whole genome shotgun sequence.